CCCUUCACAGGAUCGCACCUGGAGGGUUUCCAGUACCCUACUAGUCUUGGAUACGGGAGGGAGAGUCAAGCAGAGGCAUACUCAUUCCAUUCCUAGCUGGAGCAGUGGCUAGGGAGUAGAAGGCAAUCCGCUACAAGU